rnacentral:lncRNA from 1 species
AGCAGCUCGGAGAAGGGAUCCCUUCGAAUGCCCUGCCCUCCCGUUGCCAAGAUACUGCCCCGUAUCUCACCCUUUGCUUUUGCAUGCCAACCGCAGGGGUUUUUUUGGUUUGGUUUUUGAAGUGCAAAACUGCAAAUCGCAGCAUCAGCGGCGCAUCCCAUGGAAACGGCAGUGAGACCGAAGGACAGUUUCCCAAAGCAAAGCUCUGCAUCCCCACUGUGCCCACAGCCUGGCCUGCGGGAACGGAGGAGCGCUCCCGGGGACGUCCCAAACACCGCAUCGGGAACAGGCCGCCGCGCGCCAGUUAAUCAUUCAGCUUUUGGCAUGAGCUUUUGUGCUCCCGGGGAGGCUUUUGGAGGCCUCACGCCGCCGCGCCUGCAGAGCACCAAUCCGGACGAGGGCGGUCAGCAGUGCUUGUUUAAGGAAACGCUGCCGGGCGCAAUGGAGGCCUACGUGAAUGUAAAGGUAUGUAGGAAAAGGAAAAAAAAAACUUCGUACUUAAGGAUCUCACUCAGAAACUGGUACAUGUGUUUGUGGGCGUAAUAAGCUGACCGAAGCCCAUAAUGCAUUUUGCUGUGCGCGGGCACGGCUGUCCGGGGAGGCGACAGGGACCGGAGCGGGUGAGUUUUAGUAGGUUUUCCGGGGCCGCCUGCGACAGCAUAAGCUAUUUUAAAUGAAAUAUUUCUCAGCAGUUUAGACCUUCCUUUUGUGACGUUUCGCUCACUUCAGCGCUCCCCUCGUGAGCAGGGAAGACCCGGAGCUUGCUGCAGCCUGUCGCGAUGUUCAGGCGGAAAGCAAGCGAGGAGGAGGAGGAAAGCGAGCACAAAGAAAACCUCGGUGGUGCCUUCCUUGCCGGGCAGCAUGCUGGCCGCCUGGGAUCCCGCCGCGUUUUGGGCGUGUUUCCGGGUUUCCUGGCAUUGCCGGGCAUUCGUGCUGGGACGGCUGGUGUCUGCGGCAGGUGUCUGCGGAGGAUUUCUGCCCACAAAACACCCAUCUCAGCAGAGGCCUUCCAGCAAGGUGUUUGGCUCAUUUCACGGUGGGAAUAGGCCCGGGGGUAUUUCCAAGGCCGUAAUGGCUUUUUUGGCAGCAGAGCGGGUGGCAGGUCCCUGCCGUCCUCCCUGCGGGGGGCCUCCAGGCCGCUCAGCCCCAGGCUGUCCAUGGCCUCUGCUCUUUCUGCCUCAUCACAUCACGGCCUCAUACGCCUUCCCGGUCGAGAAAUCAUCUCUUCAGCUCUGAAAUACAACCAUACCGAUCAAA